rnacentral:snRNA from 1 species
AUACAUACUCUGGCAGGGGGGAUGCCACCAUCAUGAUGGUGACUUUCCCAAAAUGAGGCUUAUCUAUUGCACUCUGGAUGUGCUGACCUCUGCGAUUUCCCCAAAUGUGGGAAACUUGACUGCAGAACUUGUGAGAGUGGGGGAUGUCAUACAUGUUCUCCCCUG